GGCCAGUCAUCACUUCUAUCUGAAAUAGUUGUAGCAGUUGCUCUUUAGAUAAGUUUCAAGCGUUUGACAAGCAAUUAGUUAUUGAAUCAAACAUGAAACUUUUCCUUGUUCUCUGUGUCUUCGUUACGAUCGCUUACGUGUCCGUACAAAGUGCUCCAACAGAACACCUCGACGAUAUGGCUAAUAAGAUUGAAACUUCCCGCGAGGGAGAUGAACAUGUUCGAGUAAGACGCAGAGCAAGGUGUGAUGCUAAUUGGUUUAUUCGAACGAUAAGUUCCGAUGAUUUCGGUUGUAACGUCGACUGCGUUGGUGAGAGAGAUAAGCCAAAUGGUAUGAGGUGGUACGGUGGUAAAUGCAAGGAUCGCAGAUGUGUUUGUUACAAUUUGUAACAAUUAGUAUUAUAAUGAACGUCGCGUUAUAAGCAUCAUUAUGAAUUGCCAGUCGCAUUGUUGAUGUCUAUUCUCGGACAACGAAAACAGUGUAAACAAUACCAUAAACAAAAUGAUUGUGAAUUUGCGGCCAUUUUAAACAUUUUUUGCAACAAGCACUUUUAUUAACUUGUACAGUUAAGAAAUAUCGAAAUUUUGCGAAUUUUUGUGAGCACAAACGAUCUUCAGAAAUUCUGUAAUAAUCAACUUUCAUAAUUUAAUGGUACGAAUCUAGCCAUGGAACGGUUAUUUUGUGCUUCGACUGAUAUUAAGUAUUGCGAUUGCUUCAGAAAUGCUUAUUUGACGUAAACAAGUACGUAAGUAGAAAUAAAGUAUUCCGAGUUGUCUCGAGGCUUUUAUAGUGCUUUAUUAAGGAUCAAACUGUGUCUCAUGAAAUUCUCUCAUAUUGAAGACACACGGUCUUUAUUCGUUCGAAGCAUAACAAGAAUUAUACGAACACGUAUCAAUAGAGUUGGUCAUAAUGAUUGUAACAUGUAAUAUCGAGUGGGUAACGCGAAAUAAUAUUUUGGUAUACGAAACUCCAUGUUCAAGAGAGUUAGUUUGAAAUACAGCCGUUUUAACGUAACAUGUGUGUUGUUAUCGUAGAAUAUAGCAGAGUCGAUGAAAAGAAAAUAUUGCCUUUACGUGUAGUAGUAGACAUAUAUUUACGAACACGGACGUUCUACACCUUUCAUUGUAAUUUAUGCUUCAAUAAAAGAAGAUAAGAUAUUCCUA